CCCUUUGAUGUUCUGGGCCGCACGCGUGCUACACUGAGUGGAUCAGCGGGUCAGGUUGCGCGAAAGCGUUUCCUAAUCUUUAAAUCCGCUCGUGAUGGGGAUUGACGGUUGCAAUUUUCUGUCAUGAACGAGGAAUACCUUGUAAGCGCGGGUCAUCAUCCCGCGCUGAAUACGUCCCUGCCCUUUGUACACACCGCCCGUCGCUCCUACCGAUUGAGUGGUCCGGUGAGGCUUUGGGAUCUGAGCGGAAAGAGCGUUUCGCUGUUUCUGCUCGGAAAACUCAGUCGAACCUUAUCAUUUAGAGGAAGGAGAAGUCGUAACA
rnacentral:rRNA from 1 species